AACGAACGUUAGCGGCGCGCUUAACACAUGCAAGUCGCACGAGAAAGGGAGCAAUCCCCGGUACAGUGGCGCACGGGUGAGUAACACGUAGGUAAUCUGCCUCUGAGUGGUGGAUAACCUCCCGAAAGGGGGGCUAAUACAGCAUAAGACCACGGUUUCGAGAGAAACUGAGGUCAAAGCCGGCCUCUUCAUGAAAGCUGGUGCUCGGAGAUGAGCCUGCGGCCCAUCAUCGGUAGUUGGCGGGGUAAUGGCCCACCAAGCCUAAGACGGGUAGCUGGUCUGAGAGGAUGAUCAGCCACACUGGAACUGAGACACGGUCCAGAUUCCUACGGGAGGCAGCAGUGGGGAAUCUUGCGCAAUGGGCGAAAGCCUGACGCAGCGACGCCGCGUGGGUGAUGAAGGCC
rnacentral:rRNA from 1 species